AUCUCCCCACACCUGAGCUGUUUUCAGGGGAUGUAGGGAAGUGUGCGGGUUUUCUUAUGCAGUGCUCUCUCCAGUUUCGCCAGCGGCCUCAUGCCUUCUCUAAUGACGGGAGUAAGAUCUCAUAUUUUGUUCAGUUGCUACGAGAUCGUGCGCUGACCUGGGCACAAGCCGUGCUGAGCGCUAGUCCCGAAAUCACUUAUGAUGAUUUUUUGUCUCUGUUCCGGAGUGUUUUUGAUAAAGGCUCCACUGCUGCGGCGGCUGGGCUCCGCCUCAUGAAUCUGAAGCAAGGUAAGCGGAGCAUGGCAGAUUUUUCAGUUGACUUUUGGACACUAGCGACGCAAGCGGGGUGGGGGCAGGAAGCAUUAAAGACGGCACUGCUAAAUAAUGUGAGCGAGGAGAUUAAAGAUGAACUGAUGGUGCGUGAGUUACCCUCCUCUUUAGGUGCGAUCAUGUCCCUAUGCAUCCGAAUAGACGAUCGCCUGCGUGCACGGCGAAGCACGCAACGUCGCUUCGCUCAGCCUCGGCAACCGAGGGAUGCCUCACCGGGGCCUGGAGCGGCACGCGAGCACUGCGAGGUUGAGGAGGAGGAGCAGCCCAUGCAACUUGGACGUUCGCAGCUCUCGCCCGCAGAACGUCAACGGCGUAUGGCCGCCGCCAAGGUGAGCCUCUCCUCUGGCUUCCACCCGCAAAGCAACGGCCAAACAGAGCGCAUCAACCAAGAGUUGGAGGCCGCCCUCCGCUGUGUCGCCUCUCAUAACCAGGCCAUCUGGAGCGAACACCUGCCGUGGAUAGAGUAUGCUCACAACAGUCACACAUCCU
ensembl:lncRNA